rnacentral:rRNA from 1 species
GACAGAGGGUGCAAACGUUGUUCGGAUUUACUGGGCGUAAGCGCGUGUAGGCGGCUUGGCAAGUCGGAUGUGAAAGGCCCACGGCUCAACCGUGGAAGCGCAUCCGAAACUGCUUCGCUCGAGUCUCGGAGAGGAAGGUGGAAUGCUUGGAUGUAGAGGUGAAAUUCGUAGAUAUCAAGCAGAACACCUGCGGCGAAGGCGGCCUUCUGGACGAUGACUGACGCUGGAGAACGCGAAAGCGUGGGGAGCAAACAGG